AAGUACCUAUAGAAAGCAUAAAUGCAAUGUUCGUUCCCAAUCAGUAUUAGCUUUUACUGCAUUUCAAUAUAAAUUAGCAUUAAGAAUUAAGGGCAAAAUAUGUGUACCGGAUUGUGACAUCAGUUUUCUGAUAGCCAUCAUACUGUGUGUGCUUUUGGAGAGCAUGCAUGUCCAGUUCAGGGCUUCCACAAACUAGAAUUUCAACCUCUUCAGGACGAAGCAGCUGCCAAAAAAGUAAAUUUGAAAGCAAAUUCAUUAAUCAGGAAGCACUGUAUUUAUAUUUAUUUAGUUUCACUUUGAUUCUGAAAUUAAUACAAAUUUAAAUUGAUGGUGUAUGGAGUAGUAUGUGAGUAUUAAUGUAUAGUACUGCUAAGAUGUUAAGAAAAGAAACCACAUUGUUACUAUCCUACAAAAUACAAGAAUGAAGAAAAGCAUCUAAUCUACAAUUGAGCACUUUGUGCAACCAUAGACUUUUUCAGUAGGUAAGAUCAGCAAUUUAGCCAGGUUCUCCUAUGUAUAAGCAGAGCACAUAAGCUGUUGCACCAUCCUGACUUCUACAGAAUUUAUCAAACUACUCCCACACAAGAUGCAUUGAAUAGUUAGAUUUUGGGGGAAAUCAUGUAUUUGAGAAGCCUAGGUUCUUUCCUAUAAAUGAUGUCUAUAACUUCAAAUGUCAAGAGGCAACAAGACAAAGUACAAUUGAUACGAUUCUAUGAUUCUAUGAUACACCAUCCAUCUCUCAGGUACAUCUCUUUCCAAUACUUCUCCCUAAACUUAAGGGGUGACCAGUUUUAAAACUGGGUGAAAAAGUACCCUGAAGCAGAGAAACAAGAAAGUGAGUACACAAGACACUUUAAGCUAUAGUUGACAUAUUCCACUUCCUUAAUUCACAGGGCAAAUGCAGAACAGAGUGACAAACUGCAGUCAUUCAAGAAAAACCGCUACAAACUUCUUUUAUUAACUUUGAAGGCCCUUCAUGGACUAGCUCCCCCUUAUUGUCUGCACUCAUCUUCUCUUACCACCCUUCUCAUGAAUUAAGAUCCUGUAACUCCAGUCUCUUGACUCAGCCGAGGUUCUCCUCUUCCACUGCUCAGAUCUGCCCCUUCUCCCAUGCUGCUCCCCACACCUGGAAUCUCAUCCCUAGACAAUUAAGAACCAUCACCUCCAUGGCCAGUUUUAAGGCCGAGUUGAAGAUGUUUCUGUUUAAGGAGGCUUUCAGAAUCAUUGGCUAUUAAUCUGUUUCCAUGUCUGUGUCUUCUUUGUAUACUAGCUGGUACUUUUUAAGUUCUGUUCAAAUUUAAUAAUUUUGUUGUUUUAGAAUGUAUGCACUUGGCAGGUUUUACUUCAUUUUAUUCUUAUUUUUAUUCUGAUUGCUGAUAUGUAAAGUGCUGUGUAAAUCCUACAGCACUAUAUAAAUAAAUAUUAAUAAAUAAUAAAAACAAAAACGCAUGGUAUGAUUUUGUUCAGAAAUGCAGAUUAAAUAUUGUAUUAUGAGUAGAAAACAGCCUAGUUUAGCUUUCCUUGAUACAUUCAACUUUUUAUUACAAUGAAAAUAUUAAACAGUUAAUCUAUGCUAGGAUGUCUGUUCUCCCACCCAAAUCCUAUAUAUAAAUAUCUGCCAAUUGAUGCACUGCUCCCUACAUCUAAUAAAGAGGCUGCAGUCCCUUAUAAAAAUAAGACUUAAUAGCCUGUAAGGGUAGCUUUGGUUGGCUGGAUAAAAGUAUACAUUAAAUCUGGUUGUUUAUGCUGCAAAACACAGGUACCUAACACAGUUACCCCCCUGUAAGAAAAAAAUACUUCAAAAUGAAUACCAAUCCAACAUGGCAGAAGUGUUCCCCCACCCUUAAUUCCAUUCCUGUAGUGCUCCUCAACGCAGAUCCUUUCUACACCUUAAUCCCCAUAGCUGCUGUUUUAUUUUCCUUAUAAAGUAUACAAUAUAAGUAAAUGUAGGAUACAUAUGCGAGUGAACAGUUAAAAUGCCCAUACCAGAUUCUCUCAACAGAAAUGUGGAGAUCGUUCACAAAAAAGGCUUGAGAUUCUUGCAGAUUACUGCAAAGAAACAACAGCUCUUGAAACAGAGAGCCUCACUGAUUACUGAUUGGUUUCUCUUCAUGUCACCUUCAGAUCCAAGGUAAUUUUGUUCCUGCACAAGGCAGAGGCACCAUAGCCAAUCAACAUUCAACUCCUUCCAAGAAGCUCCAGUUGUCUUUUAAAAAGCAAGUAUUUUUGAAAAUCUUAAUGAAUAAGGUGACCAACUCAGGCCACUGGAGGAAUGGAUUGCGCUCUUCCCCUCCUGCUGAAGAACCUUUGCUCUGCUCCUAAACUACUCAACACCCAUUCUUUCCCUUCCCUGUACCCACCUCAUACCUCUGCUAUGCUACUACUUUCUCUUGUUAUUUGCACUGUACUGCUGCACUUGCUACUAUCCCUCCCCCUCACCUUCUGAAGCCUUGCAUCUUGUUCAUGCAUUCUUUCUUCUCUUCUGCUGUCUCACCUCAAUCUGUGUCCUAGCAAUGUGCCCCUCUUUUCUCUUCUCACUCACACGACACACUCUUUGUACUUUAAGACAUCUUGCCUCACCUCUCCCUGUAAUCUCAAAAUAGGAUUAUUCUUUUCAUUCCUCCCUUGCUUCUUCCACUCAGUCCCUUCCACUAUUCAAUCUCCUGUCCUUCCUACUCCGCUCUUGCCUUCCAAUGCACUCUCCCCUUGAUUCUUGCACUCCACAAUCGUCACGACUUGCUCUCACAUGUCUCCCACUCCUCCAUUGCCUCUCCAAGUGCCCAUGCAAUGGAUCCUUCUUUUUGCACAUCACAGUUUACACUGUUCACUUGGUCACUCUCCUACUGCCUCCACGCAUCGCUUAUUCUUCCAUGUCUCACCUGAUGUUGUGGCCUUUCAGCAUGCUGCUUCCUUGCAUCUUGCACUCUGCUAUUCACACCACUUGCUCUACAUUUCUUCUACUCCCUUCCCUUGCCUCUGCUCAUGUCCUCAAUGCACUUUUCCCUUGCUUCUUUUACUUUGCUGUUCACACCAUGAUUGUGCUGUCUCUCCUGCUCCCCCCUCACCUUUUCCCACCACUGCAACACAUCCAGAGUGACAAGAUGUCCUUGCCAUAAAGGAGGACAAGACACUCCAAAAUGUAGGACAUUACAAAAUAAAAGCUAAAAACACUAAUAUAAAUUCAUGCUUCUUAGUCAUGUUCAAAAUGGAGGACAUUUUGAAAUUCCUCCUGGAUGGAAGGUUGAAAUUUAGGGUGUGUCCUAGAAAAUUACGGUGUCUGGUCAUCCUCAACACAUCACUCUUUUACUUUUUGCACUCCACCACUUGUACUCCUGAAUUCCUACCACUGUCUCACCUGUCCUUAGACACUUGCAAUGCAUCCCUUGUGCCUUUCUCUUGCAUCUUGCACUCUCCUUGCUCCCUAGUGUCUACUACUCCUUUCGACAAGAGAAUCCCACUGUGUGACCCUCUUGUUUCUUGAACUCCACCACUUGCACUGUUCACUCUCCUCUUUGUGCUCCCUUCCACUCUUCCUUUACCUGUUGUACUUUGCCAUCAUAACUCUUGCUUGUCACUCUUCCCUAUUACCUCCCCUUCCAUGCCUGAAUGUAUCACUCUCUUGUGCCUCCUGUACUUGCACUCUGAAACUUGCAACACUUACUCUCCUGUCUCUCAAAAUUCCCUUCCUUGUGUCACAGUGCUCUUUUCAGUGUGACCCCUUGCAUCUUGCAUGCUGCUGUUCACACCACUUGCUUCCCCAUCUCUCCUACUCCCACCCUCACCUGUACUUCUACCCUCACAAUGCAUGCCCUGUUUCCCCUUCUCUUGCUUCUGGCCACUCUGCCACUUGCAGUAGCAUACUCUCUUGCUCCCUUGUCUCCUACUCCCUCCCUUGCCUGCCCUCAUAAUGUGUCCUUCUUGAACAUAGCCACUCACACUACUUGCUCUCCUUCUGGUUUCACUCUUUUUCUGCUUGGUGCUUAUGGUGGAGUGCAAUGUAUUCUUUCCAUGCACCCCUCCCUUGCUCCAUGCACUCCACCAGUCCCAUCUCUCCUACCCUUCCACUGCCCCUCUUCAUAACUUUUUGAAUGCCACCACUGCCUUUUGUUUUUGUUGCAGAUCCAUUUUACAGAAGAUUGCCACCAUAUUUUGCCACAUACUUUGGCUUCAACAAGGGAUAGAGACUUUGCCCCCCAAUGAAAGCUUGGAAACUAGGCCAGUUAAUGAUCCAAACAAACACUGAGCGGCAUAAACUAUCUGGGUGGUUGUAACAUUUUAUGACUCCGAAUUCUUCUUGAAAAACCUGAAAAGAAAAGACACGGAACAUAGAAAAAUCUACCAUAAUAGAGGACAGAAAGCAAGCCUACCUGAAAAGCAAGUUCCACAACACUAAAAGUCCACCUGUAUUACCACCUUUCAUAGUUCUAAUUCUGGAAGAGCAACACUGACUGGACCUCCACAGAACCUUCUACAUGUACAGAAACGCUGUUAUGGAAUAAGGAGAUCCAUAAUAACCUGAACUAUUUAGUACUAUUUAAUUUUUGAGUUAACUUGUUAAUCUUUAUGGACUCAUUUUGGGUGUGUUUUUAAAAACCAUGAAAAUCAAA